UACGUAGGCAGCAAGCGUUGUUCGGAGUUACUGGGCGUAAAGGGCGCGUAGGCGGCCCGCUAAGUCGAACGUGAAAUCCCCGAGCUCAACUCGGGAACUGCGUCCGAUACUGGCGGGCUUGAAUCCGGGAGAGGGAUGCGGAAUUCCAGGUGUAGCGGUGAAAUGCGUAGAUAUCUGGAGGAACACCGGUGGCGAAGGCGGCAUCCUGGACCGGCAUUGACGCUGAGGCGCGAAAGCUAGGGGAGCAAACGGG
rnacentral:rRNA from 1 species